CUAAACCAAAGGCAAACUAUUCGAAAGGAUAGGACGCAAAGUUUGGAGUCUAAAGCGUGCGCAAGCCGUGGUGGGAAUUGCGGUGCAAGCUGCGCUAUGAUUGUCCGGCCGCCAUG
rnacentral:ncRNA from 1 species